rnacentral:rRNA from 1 species
AACGGCCAUACCAUGCUGAAUAUACCGGUUCUCGUUAGAUCACCGAAGUCAAGCAUCAUUGGGCGCGGUCAGUACUUGGGUGGGUGACCACCUGCGAAUACCGCGUGCCGUU